AUACGGAGGGGGCUAGCGUUGUUCGGAAUUACUGGGCGUAAAGCGCACGUAGGCGGCUUUGUAAGUCAGAGGUGAAAGCCUGGAGCUCAACUCCAGAACUGCCUUUGAGACUGCAUCGCUUGAAUCCAGGAGAGGUCAGUGGAAUUCCGAGUGUAGAGGCGAAAUUCGUAGAUAUUCGGAAGAACACCAGUGGCGAAGGCGGCUGACUGGACUGGUAUUGACGCUGAGGUGCGAAAGCGUGGGGAGCAAACAGGAUUAGAAACCCUAGUAGUCC
rnacentral:rRNA from 1 species